UCCUUCCCCUUUUGUCUGGGAAAUCAAAACGGAACAGAGGAGAGACUGAGAUCAAUCAGAGCUGCUUUGGUGGUAUUUGAUAAAGAGUCGACCUUGGCUUUGAGACUGCUUGUAGACAGUGGAGGAGUAGCUAGCGGCUGAUUCUAAACCGAAGGAACAAAAACCAAACCGAAGAAAUCAAUCAGGUUGGUUGUGGAAUAGCAACACGACGGCGGAAGAGACCCAACCCAGAGCCGGAUUUGUUACACAACACCGGGACGUGUCUCUCUCUCGUUUGGAUUUUCACUUGCUUUUUUGUUUCUUUCUUUCUAGGGUUUGGUUGCUUCGGUUUACUUGUUUUUCUUUUUUUUUUUGGUUAUGUGGUUUCAGGUUUUGGGAUGAUGGCUUUUAUCGAUCAAUGAUGGCUUUGAUGGAAACGCUUCAUCUCCUCUGUUCUAACGUCUUCAGCGGUUUCGCUUAUUCUUCUUUUAAAACUCAGUUUUGGAUGCUUCUCUCUGAUAGAUGAGAGUGACGGCUUUGAUGGACACGCUUCUUCUUCUGAUCUGCUAACGUCUUCUAGGGUCUUUUGGAAGCAAACCAUGAUCCAAUCAUGACGUAUUGCUAAUCCAUGCUAUUGUCUUCAAGCCUUCUCACAGGUUCCUUGCUCUAAACUCAUCUCUAUCUGAUGUGGUUUAAUCAUUCAGACCAUCGAGACACCGAGAUUAAUGCAUUGGAGGGUUUGAAGAUAAGAAAAAACAUUGUUGAAGUGAAUGGUUUGCGUGGUAUGCUUAAGUUUGAGCUCCUCUGAUGCACAUGGCUGGACAUGUGAUUUAAUUAUUCAGAUUGUGGAGGAUGCUUUGCUCUGUGGGUGGAUCGUUGUCUUCUCUGCGCUACAUCUUCAGACCAUCGAGAUUAAUGUGUGUGAGGGUUUGACGAGAAGAAAAAAACAUUGUGAAAGUGAAUGGUUUGCGUAUGAAGCUAGAACCGUACAAGGAGAUUGCGUCUGAAGCUCAGGAUGCAAGCAAGGGUUUGAAGAGAAGAAAGAAACAUUGUGAAAGUGGGUGCUUUGCGUAUGAAGCUAGAACCAUACAAGGAGAUUGUGUCUGCUGCUUUGUUUGACAUUAUAGCUCAGGAAGCAAGCAAGGUUAUUGGUGGUGGGAUGAGAGGGGCUUGUCUCGUGUUUGAUGCUAAUAGAUUGGCUAUCUGAUCUAUGUAACCAGGGACAACAAUCUUGCUCAGCAACUCAGAUGCAGAGCUCUACCGAUCUGGUAUGCAGCACUUCUCAAGGUGACUUUCUCCAUUGCGAUUUAUUUUGAGCUCGUUUCGUUGUCGUCAAAGUUAACGCCAUACGUAUCUCAGCUGCAAGAUAGUGCAACGUGUUCCUUGAACAGAACAGCCUACAGAUUUACAAGAACGCCUCACAGCCUCCGUAUCUUUUCCGGCACUGCCUUAGCUCAGGUUGGUUGUGGUUUAGGAACGCGGCGGCGGCGGGGGAUCCCUACAAGUUCGACGGCGGAAGAGACUCAAAGCAGAGCCCCGGUUUGAUCAAGAAGACAUAUGGGCUUCGGACAACAACAAAUGGGCUUUUUUUUUAUAUACCAAAUAACAACCAUCAGCAGAAGAGCAACCAAGAGACCCACCAAGUUGUUGGGUCUUCCCUUCUUUGUCUUCGCCGCGCCGGAGAAGCUAAUCGGACGGAAUCAGAGAGAGAGAGAGAGAGAGAGAGAGAGAUGAAGCAAAUCAAACACGAGAGAGCCAAUUUGAAACGACGUGUGUAACUAAGGAGAUUGUUGUGUCUGCCUCUGACAUUAUAGAACGCAGGUGGGUGAGGCUUGAAAAGCUAGUUUCUCGGGUGAUUGACAUUGGAGCUACUAACAAGCCACAGGAGUUGGAUGAUGCAGUGCUUAAUUUAGGAGUUUGGGGCUUGUCUCGUAUUUGAUGCUAAUCCAUUGGGUGAUCAAUCUUCGCUCAGCAAUCCGGUUAGAUGCCUUCAGAUGCAGAGCUCUAUCGACCUGUACCUCUUUCUAUAACUUCCAAU